rnacentral:rRNA from 1 species
UCUGUAGGCUAUACCACCCUGAGUGCACCUAGUCUCAUCUGAUCUUGGAAGCUGAGCAGGGCCAGGCCUGGUUAGUACUUGGAUGGGAGAGGAAAACAGCCCGAUGGUCCUGGGAU